rnacentral:tRNA from 1 species
GAGGGUAUAGCUCAGUGGUAGAGCACAUGUUUAGCAUGCAUGAGGUUCUGGGUUCAAUCCCCAGUAUCUCCA